UACGUAGGGGGCAAGGCGUUGUUCCGGAUUUAUUUGGGCGUAAAGAGCGUGUAGGCGGCCAUACAGGUCAGCUGUGAAAACUCGAGGCUCAACCUCGAGACGUCGGUUGAAACCGUAUGGCUAGAGUCCGGAAGAGGAGAGUGGAAUUCCCGGUGUAGCGGUGAAAUGCGCAGAUAUCGGGAAGAACACCUAUGGCGAAGGCAGCUCUCUGGGACGGUACUGACGCUGAGACGCGAAAGCGUGGGGAGCAAACAGG
rnacentral:rRNA from 1 species